CCUACGGGAGGCAGCAGUGGGGAAUAUUGCACAAUGGGCGAAAGCCUGAUGCAGCGACGCCGCGUGAGGGAUGACGGCCUUCGGGUUGUAAACCUCUUUCAGCAGGGAAGAAGCGAGGGUGACGGUACCUGCAGAAGAAGCGCCGGCUAACUACGUGCCAGCAGCCGCGGUAAUACGUAGGGCGCAAGCGUUGUCCGGAAUUAUUGGGCGUAAAGAGCUCGUAGGCGGCUCGUUGCGUCGGUUGUGAAAGCCCGGGGCUUAACCCCGGGUCUGCAGUCGAUACGGGCAGGCUAGAGUGUGGUAGGGGAGAUCGGAAUUCCUGGUGUAGCGGUGAAAUGCGCAGAUAUCAGGAGGAACACCGGUGGCGAAGGCGGAUCUCUGGGCCAUUACUGACGCUGAGGAGCGAAAGCGUGGGGAGCGAACAGGAUUAGAUACCCUGGUAGUCCACGCCGUAAACGUUGGGAACUAGGUGUUGGCGACAUUCCACGUCGUCGGUGCCGCAGCUAACGCAUUAAGUUCCCCGCCUCGGGGAGUACGGCCGCAAGGCUAAAACUUAAAGGAAUUGACGA
rnacentral:rRNA from 1 species